GAAUUGACGGGGGCCCGCACAAGCAGCGGAGCAUGUGGUUUAAUUCGAAGCAACGCGAAGAACCUUACCAGGUCUUGACAUCCCUUGACAGCCUCAGAGAUGAGGUAUCUCUUCGGAGCAAGGAGACAGGUGGUGCAUGGUUGUCGUCAGCUCGUGUCGUGAGAUGUUGGGUUAAGUCCCGCAACGAGCGCAACCCUUGCCUUUAGUUGCCAUCAUUAAGUUGGGGACUCUAGAGGGACUGCCGGUGACAAAUCGGAGGAAGGUGGGGAUGACGUCAAAUCAUCAUGCCCCUUAUGACCUGGGCUACACACGUGCUACAAUGGUCUGUACAGAGGGAAGCGAAAGGGCGACCUGGAGCGAAUCCCAGAAAGCAGAUCUCAGUUCGGAUUGUAGGCUGCAACUCGCCUACAUGAAGUCGGAAUCGCUAGUAAUCGCAGGUCAGCAUACUGCGGUGAAUACGUUCCCGGGCCUUGUACACACCG
rnacentral:rRNA from 1 species